UUGGUCCCCUCGCAACGAUAAGCCGCAAACCCCGCCAGGCCCGGAAGGGAGCAACGGUAGUGGUGGAUUCGUGUGCCGGGGUGUGGCUGG
rnacentral:SRP_RNA from 1 species